rnacentral:rRNA from 1 species
CACGCCGUAAACGAUGAGCACUAGGUGUCGGGGUCGCAAGACUUCGGUGCCGCAGUUAACGCAUUAAGUGCUCCGCCUGGGGAGUACGCACGCAAGUGUGAAACUCAAAGGAAUUGACGG